rfam:Naegleria gruberi genomic scaffold NAEGRscaffold_70, whole genome shotgun sequence.
GGUGGGUUGGUCGAGUGGUCUAAGACGACACUAAGUAUUAUAACCGUGUUCCGAAAGGGCGUGGGUUCAAAUCCCGCACUCAUCA